AGAGUGUUGUGUGUUGUGAGUGCUGGGUGUGAUAGUGCUGUGUGUGAUGUGUGUGAGAGUGCUGCGUGUGAUGUGUGUGAGAGUGCUGAGUGUGAAAGUGCUGAGUGUGAAAGUGCUGUGUGUGAGAGUGCUAUGAUGUGUGUGAGAGUGCUAUGAUGUGUGUGAGAGUGCUGUGUGUGAAAGUGCUAUGAUGUGUGUGAAAGUGCUAUGAUGUGUGUGAGAGUGCUAUGAUGUGUGUGAGAGUGCUGCGUGUGAUGUGUGUGAGAGUGCUGAGUGUGAGAGUGCUAUGAUGUGUGUGAGAGUGCUGAGUGUGAGAGUGCUGGGUGUGAGAGUGCUGGGUGUGAGAGUGCUAUGAUGUGUGUGAGAGUGUUGUGUGUGAGAGUGCUGGGUGUGAGAGUGCUAUGAUGUGUGUGAGAGUGCUGUGUGUGAGAGUGCUGUGUGUGAGAGUGCUG
rnacentral:lncRNA from 1 species